UGAAUGGGGGUUCUUUUGGGAGGAGGGACCUACGGCGUGGUUGGAGGUUGGGGUUCCUGUAAGGGGUGUAAAGCUCCACCCACCACCCCCCACCGCCACUUCUCCCGCGUACAGCGGCUAUAAAGUCUUCCACUUAGCUUCAUGUCGUCAGUGCUCAUCACAGCGACACGACAGUAAAGAUGAGGACUGGCUGGGUAGUGACGCUACUGCUGGUGGUGCUGACCGGCAGAGAUGACGAGGUCCUGGCCUCAGUAUGGAGGAGGAGGAGCCGCACCAUCCACAGACCAGCAGCUGCAUGAAGCACUGGCGGGGGCGGCAGUGAGCAGCAGCAGCAGCAGCAGCAGCAGCAGGGUGGUGACACGGAGGUGUUGACUGAAGACUUCAAGUUCGAGCAAGCUCCUGACUGUUCUAAGGUCAGUGUCCAUACCUCACCUUGUACAUACAUACUAUUAUUAUAUUCCUGUAGAAGCGCUAAACCCCUAGGGGUCAUGAACCGCCUGGGGAAGGGGCGGUAAUUCAGAGUUGAUGCAAGAAAUGGGAGGGCUGUUCCAUUUCCUUUGCUCAAGAAUCUAUCACCAGCAUCAAAAUUAACGUAAGAGAGGGAAUUCAUAACUAAUUAAGA